rnacentral:tRNA from 1 species
GCAACGGCAAAUAGUUUACGGCUGCAUUCCGAUUCCAAAGGUCACAGGUUCGAAUCCUGUCGGGUGCGCCA